UACGAAGGGGGCGAGCGUUGUUCGGAUUUACUGGGCGUAAAGCGCGUGCAGGCGGCGCAUUAUGUCAGGUGUGAAAGCCCCGGGCUUAACCUGGGAACUGCGUUUGAUACGGAUGGGCUAGAGUUCGGGAGAGGAGAGUGGAAUUCCCAGUGUAGAGGUGAAAUGCGUAGAUAUUGGGAAGAACACCAGUGGCGAAGGCGGCUCUCUGGACCGAGACUGACGCUGAGGCGCGAAAGCGUGGGGAGCAAACAGG
rnacentral:rRNA from 1 species